rnacentral:rRNA from 1 species
CCCUUAGAUGUUCUGGGCCGCACGCGCGCUACACUGUUCGACGCAGCGAGUCUUAACCUUGACCGAAAGGUUUGGGUAAUCUUCAGCAAAGUCGAACGUGAUGGGGAUCGAUCAUUGCAAUUAUUGAUCGUGAACGAGGAAUUCCUAGUAAGUGCAAGUCAUCAGCUUGCGCUGCUUACGUCCCUGCCCUUUGUACACACCGCCCGUCGCUACUACCGAUUGAAUGGUUUAGUGAGAUCUCUGGAUUGACGCUGGCUAGGGGGCGACCCUUGGCCAGGCUGUCGAGAAACUGCUCAAACUUGAUCAUUUAGAGGAAGUAAAAGUCGUAACA